AGUAUGGGCCCUACAGGGUACAGCGACGGGGUUUUGCAGUCGGUAAGAGCUCCGCGGCCGUGGGAUUCUAGCUCCAUGAAGGUGUUUACCAAAAUCCCCUUGGUUUCUCUGAACCUUCUGGCAUGGUUGAUGAACUCUGUGGCGCUAUCCUUGUCCAGAUACAUGCCAGGCAAGACUCUAGCAGGCAUUGGGUUGACAAGACACGGCAAAACCAAAUCAGGAUCCGAUUCCUUCAGCUCAGUGCAGUCCUUGUUCUGCUCGUCAUGAAGGGUUUGGAGGUGGAGCACAAGCCCGAGAAAGCCUGCGCCGGACGUGAAGAAGACGUAGGUAGGAACCCCAAACUCAUUGGCCACGUCUAUCAUGGUGGUGCAGAACAUGUCGAUGACAAACCCGACUAGACUGGGCUUGCAAUCAGACUGAAGGGCCUCACUAGUGAGCUUCGCGACUGCAUCUCUGACGUGUUGUUUGUGAUUUUCAACGAAUAGCUUCAGGAAGAGGCGGGUCUUAAUACCCUUCGUCUCUACGGCUUCCUCCGGGAGGUUGAUGAACCUGAUACGUUCGGCGUCGUCAGCACCCUUGAGCUUCAACUUGGACUCCAAGGGCAGCUUCAUGGUGAGCACUGUGAUGAAAAGCCGGUCGUCUCGAACAACUAAGAGCUUUGCGAUCUCGAACGAGGACGCAAGAUGGCCAAUACCUAUGGCAGGAAUGAACACUAGCUCUCUCUCUCUCUCUCUCUAUAUAUAUAUAUUACACGUAAGUAUGUAUGUGUAUACAUAUCGAAGCAUGCACAUGGAUUGUGGUGUUUUAUAUAACAAAUAUAAACCACUCACAAUUCUUGGAGCUUUCCCUUGGCCCAACCACGAAAGGACGUACAAAGCUUUCAUGUUAUCUUUUUAGUAACGACAGUGCCGGUGACCUUUUGAGGUGAUAAAUCCUGCAUUGCCACACACAUAACGAUGUUUAUAUGUAUAUGGUGUACGUAAUGAAAUCGGUUUCUUCCGUAAGGGAAAAAGGAGAAGCACCAAAGUAUAUUUAAGUAGAAAGUUGGAAAGGAAAAUCUCCAUACGGCUCAACAAAGUUAAAAUAAGCAAAAGCAUUUUUUUAAGUCUUGGCAGCAACGAAAACUUAGUAGAAGAUACUACAAUCAGAUUAUUGUAUAUAAAUGAACCUUUUGUCUGACAAGAAUAUGGAUCGUAAUAAAAAGUUAAAAAGAAAGAUAGGAUCAUAAAAUAAUCAUGAAAAUUAGAGCUUUUACGUGUUGUAUCAGGGAACCCAACGAGAUUCGGAAAAGAAAGUGGAACAGAAUAAACAGAGAAGAAUACCUAGUGAAAGGACUUCCUCCCAUUUCUGCACAGAGGAAAAUGUCCGUCUGCAGCUACAGCACUAGAACUUCCCUUCAAUGGGCAGGGCACAACGGAGCUGUCUGUUUUAGUUUUUGAUGGAGAUUUCCGCGGCCAGAUGCGGUUUCCUCAUGUGCCCUGUAACAUGACCAAAUUACAGAUUUUCUUUCACAGAAUUAUAACCAAUUUAACCUUCAAAAGAACGAAAAGUUUAAUAUUUUCCUCAUUCAUGACUGUAUGUGACUCAGUAAACGUGAGAGCGUAUAUACGUAGUUCACUUUAACAAUAUACAUAUCAGGAAAGUAUAAGACUGCAAGGUAACAUAUGAUAUACUGGCCUUAUGACUCUCUAUCUUAUCCACUGCAGAGAACACAUUACUGAACUCCAUAGCAAACAUAUGAUGGCCUUGAUGGGAAAUAUAUCCCAUGCUGCAAAUUCACAUUUAUAUACUUACUACCAGUUUAGCAAGCAUCCUUCCUAAAUUAUUAUUGCCCAACCAAUUCUAAAAAUUAUUAUUGCCUGCUUCACAACUUCCAUAUAGAAUCCAGAUGGCAUAUUCCAUAUUUGGGUUGUUGUACGAAAGCGACAGAUAUGAGAUCAAUACAUAAGCAAGGCAAAGUUUGAUAAAUACUGAAAUCCAAAUAACCCAAGGAUUUAUACUAUAGUUGAGAAUAAGCCUACGUUUAGUUUGGAGACGGCAAGGAAAUUCCAGUAAUAAGAAAGGGGAUUACAAAAGUGUUUUACAUCACAAACCCAAAUCCCACAUGCACCCAAGCUUACAUAAUGUGGACCCAAAAGUAAAGGAACUAUGUCCUACAUCAUUACAUAUUCAUCAGUGUUUUGCCUCUGCCAAUACAAAGCUUCCAUACACUGAUGAACAACACAAGUUACUUUGGGUGUAGUACCAAUAAGUAGACUCUUAUUCAACCACUUCUUAGCUGCUCUCGGUGCACAAUUAAAUGCAUAUAAACUAGUGUGUUAGAGAAGUCAAAUAAAAGAAAAUCAGUGUACCUUAGGAAGUCAUAUUGAAUGGGCAGAUAGUAGAUACCAGCCUUACAAACAUAGGUGACGUGAGUGAUUUAAAGCUAAGUAACAAAUUCAACCAUAGCCAAUUAGUCAGCAAAGCCACAUAAAUAUUGCUUAUAAUAGCCUUCAUGGGGAGACACAGCACAAAACAUUAAGAUUUUCAAGAGUUCUAAGUAGAUCAACCAAUAUAAUACGACAAUACGAGUCACCCACGAGUAAGCCAAAUGGAAGAAAAUAAACUACUCGUGCAGGGUAUUCCAUGAAGAUCAAAGUAUCAUUAACUAAGCAUGGCCAUGCGCAACACUAUAUACAGAAAUCAUGCUUUUUUAACUGACCUGAAUAUAUGUAUGAGGCGUCUUUGAGAUGGCAGCUUAUUAACUUGCUAUGGCUCAACCGCUAGUGUCCAAAGUUCACUCUCAAAGACCAUGGGGACAGAUUUAAGCGCCAUCUAAAAAGAAUAUAACUUAGACAACUGCUGACCCGCACCAAAAGCUAAAUUAGCAAGAAAGUAGAUUCCAGCUGCAGAUACAAACAUCACGAUACAUCACAUAAACCUAAGAUGAAGCUAAACUCAAUAAAAAGACAUGCCCACUGACUUGCCAGAAACCAGCCAGUCUAGUUUUAGGAAAAUUCCCCCUUUUAAUCCAGUCCUUAACUAUGUAUUUUUAGGAAUCUUGAGAAAAUGCAUAUCUUAGACGAUUAAAAUUGGAUCGACAAUCACAAACGAUAAACUUACAUGAAGGGCAGUUUUCCAUGGAUAGAUAGUUCUUGUUAUGAUCCUGCAAAGGAGUUGCGGAUGCUGCAAUGCGAGCAUCGAAUGGUGGAUAAUUUGCAUGCAGACUUGUCAAAAUAGUUUACCACAUUGAAUGACACCACAAGCUGAAAAGAUCUUCUUUCAAGAAUUCUUCAUCAGUCAUAAGGUUCCAAGAUUGCAUCGAAGGAAGAAUUGAGAGAAGGCCUAUAACCAGUAUCUUUCAUCUUCACAGUCAAUUCCUCCAAUAUAUCAUAUAUCUCAUCACCCUGAGGAUGGUUUUGGUUCCUAGAUACGAAACAGUUCAAAAAACCGCUAAUAUCAAUCCAACUACAUCCAGUCUCCUUCCUCAAACCUUUUUCCCUCAUUUGUUUCCUCACAUUAUCCACGUUUUCCCACUUGCCUUCCUCGGCAUACAUAUUUGAGAGUAAAACAUGGUAGCCCCUUUUGCCAUUUGCUGCCUCUAGUUCAAGCAAUUUCCCAGCAACAAUCUUUCCCAAUUCAAAAUGUUUAUGAAUUCUGCACGCCCCAAGAAGUGAGCCCCAAAUUUCCAUCGCAUCACCCUCUUCGCCCAACCCUUUGACAAACUCGUAGGCUCAACCAUUCUCCCAACCCUCCCUAACAUGUCUGCUAUACAGCAAUAGUGUGCCGUUAGUGGUUUAAUAUUGUAUUCCCUUUUCAUUGAAUCAUAUAUCAAAAGACCUUCGUUAACCAAACCAGCAUAACUGCAGGCAGACAAGACUGCAACAAAGGUUAUGGCAUCAGGUGCAAUGCCAGAUUUCUGCAUUGAGUGAAACAAAGAGAGAGCUCUCUCACCCACUCCAUGCUGACCGUAGCCCAGUAUCAUUGUGGUAUAUGUGACAGAGUUCUUCUCAUGGGAUCCAGCGAAAACAUUUUCAGCAUAAGUGACUGCACCACAUUUGGAAUACAUGUCAAUUAGAGCAGAUCCCACGAAGACGUUUUGGGCAAGGUAGUGGCGGAUAGAGAACCCAUGGAGUUGCUUACCCAUAUCUAUGUUUCCCACUAUAUUACAAGCUGGGAGAACCGAUGCUAAGGUCACAGCAUUUGGGAUUAGAUUUUGCUCAAGCAUCUGCCUAAAGACAAAGAAAGCUUCUUCAGAUAGCCCAUUCUGUGUGUACCCAGCAAUCAUAGAAUUCCAAGUAGCCUGAUCUCUAUCACGGCUGUAGUCUUUUUUGAAAACCCGUUCUGCGAUCCUUACUGAGCCAGAUUUAGCAUACAUAUCGAUGAGAUAACUGUCCAUCCCCUCAAAUUGUAUGUCAUGCCUAAUAAGAUAAGCAUGAGUCUGCUUUCCAAUAUCUGGAUUUCUAAGAUUUGAUGAAGCCGAAAGUAGAGCAGUUACAGUUACCGAAUCAAUCAUGAACCUUUGCUUUUGCAUCUCAUAAACAAGCAUCAAAGCUUCAUCAUCUAAACCAUUUUGCACGAAUGCAGAAAUCAUAGUAUUCCAUGAAACAACAUCCCUCUCAGGCAUCUUAUGAAAAAUUUUGAAUGACAUGUCAACAGAAUUGCACCUUGAAUACAUUACGAUAGUCGCAUUGAGUAAAAUAACGGGCAUCGAUCUCAAAUGCUUGAUGAUAAAAGCAUGCAGCUGUCCAGCUAAUUCCAACUGUUGCAUCUGUGAACAUGCAGUUAAAACUGAUAGGAAAGUCACCUCAUCAAGAAUAGCCACUUCUGAGUUUACAGCUUGAAAGAAGAGGUCGAUCGCUUCAAUAGGACGGUUGUUUUGAACAUAUGCACCGAUCAUAGUGUUCCAAAUCUCUGUAUUUCUCUCGGAACAAUGGUCAAAAAUCUUCCUAGCAUAUUCAAGCUCGGCAUACAUAAAUAUUGCCGAGCUCACAACAAACAAGUCAGUCACGUAUUCCCCACCCAACCUAAGAAGCAUACUGUAUAGUCUCCCAUAGCGGAAAGUGCAGGGAAAACAUUGACAAAACUGACAGCACUCGGUGUUAUUCUCAUUCCCAUCAUCAUCCUAAACUGCUUCACUGCUUCUGCAUAUCUUUCCGUCUUAACAUACCACGAAACCAGCGUAUUCCAAGCAACCACAUUCCUCUUGCGCAUUGUAUCAAACACUCUACGCACUAAAUCAUACUGUGAAUAAUCAAAGUCAUAAUAACAAGCAGAGUACAUAUUCAAAAGCGAAUUGCACACAAUCCUACUGGGGAUCGGAAGACACCGAAGAACAUGGCAAUGCAGGGCUUUACCCAUCUUGAAAUUACGCGUGUCGGUGCAGGCUUUGAGGGUAGAAGAGUAAGUGUAAGGGUCGGCCUUGGGCCGGGAGAGGCGGAUUUCAUCUGGGAGUAGAACAAGAGGGCUUCAUUGGCCAUGUUGCUGCAGAUGAAUCCAAUGAUGAUGGUGUUCCAGAGCACGGUGGAGGGGCCAGGCAAAGUGUCGAACAGUUGGCGGGCAAGGUGAGGAGGAGGGAUUCCUCCUGAAAAUGUUUUGCGGACGAUUCAUAAAAUUUCGUGCUAAUGAUCGAAACCAUUAAUGAUAUAAAUCAUUAUGGAAAAUAUCAUCUUUAUAAAAAAAAUUAAAAUGAUGGUAGUGAAGUCAAAUAACUGCAACAAAUAGAUAAAACAGCUCAUAAUACUUUUAAUAAUUCUGGCUAUAUAUAUUUACACAUUUUGAUGACAUAAUGAUUUCAUGUGAUGAUCUUUACACAACGACAUAUAAUAUGAACAAUUCUAACGACAAACACAAAAUUUUGAGUCCGUUACAACACAUUUUUAGGGGAUAUCCUUCUCAUCGUUUCAGUUGUAAAGUAUUAUUCUAAGCAUAUAUAUCAAUUGCAUGGCCUGUGGGAUGGGGGUGGUGUUUUAAUUCUUGGAUUUUUUUCAUGUGGAGGUGAUGAUGUCAUGCCUUUGCUGUCAUUUGCUAAUUUCUAAAACCCUAGCUAGUACAUGCUGUUGUCUGCAGUUAAGAUUUCGGAGUUUAUAACCAAUACAAAUGAAGAAGAAAAGUCACCAUAAUUUAUUACAAGUCGUAAGUAGAAGACUAUAUAGAGACCACAAAAAAACCACACAUAAGAUGAACGCGAUUUAAUUGAUGAAAUUGAGGUUCUAUCAUAAAAUCAAUUGGCAAUAUGAGGAGUAGCCCAAGAUCAUAUAAGCACAUAGCAAACCUUGUCCCUCACCAAUGUGGGACAACUCUCAACAUUAAUCACAUGCGUAGAGAAAGAGUGGGGCUAGCUGUGACUAUUUGUUUUGGCAGUGUAUAGUGUAUACUGGUUGAUGAAAUAGACAGUUUGUAUCGGUGAACUUAGGUCCCUCGUGAUUCCUUGGAUACCACACAACUACAAACACAAGACUUAUCUGCAUAUAUAUUCUCGCGCAUAGGAUCGAUGGAUUACAAGUUUACAACAAACACCAUGUAGAGCAGAAGAAUGUAGAUUUAUCUGCCCAAAAUAAAUUGAUUGAGUGUUAGUACAUGUCUAUGAAUAAGUUAGUGGUUGACAAUGCUCACAGCAUGUAAUGAAGAGUUGGUCAUCUGGAGCUUUCAUUAUUAUUAGUAAAAACUCUAUAUUGAAAAUGAUGUCAAAACAAAUUUUUAGGCAUGCAUUAGGUGCACAUACAAGCUGAAUUGAUCAGUAUUCAGUACAGGGCCAUUCUGAAAAUCUCGACAUCAGGAUUACUUGUUCACACAUUCGUAAGCAAGUUAGAUUUUCAAAGAAAAGAAAAUGUCACCACAAGAUUUUAAGAUUUGAUACGUUGAACUAUGUAUUAAUGGAAAACUUACAAUACAAACGUUGCAAAUUACAUAUCGUAAAAAUAAGCGAGGAGAAUAUAAAAGCCCCCCAACCCAAUUAAAUUUGAUCAAUAAAACGCCCUAAUGAAGAGUAAGAAGAACCACCAUCCACCAAGGCUUUCUUGCUCUUUUCACUCAUCUCCUUCACUCUUUUCCUUACAUCACUGUCAAGCUCCAUCACUCGCCUUAUCCCUCUUUCUAUGUCUUCUGCGCUCACCACCACGUCGCUGUCCUUCCUAUAAUCCAUCUUAAUCUCCACUGACAGUCCCAACUCCUUCACCAAUUGAAAGGCAUUCAGGUUUUGCUCCGCGUACAUUGGCCAUGCGGCAAUCGGCACGCCAUUCCAUAAGCUUUCCAACGUAGAAUUCCACCCGCAAUGUGAUACAAACGCUCCGGUUGCCGGAUGGCCUAGAAUGGCCGCUUGCGGGGCCCAACCAAUCACCUUCCCAACCGUAGCCGUCCGAUCAAGAAACCCUUCGGGCAAGACUGCCUUUGGAUCCUCGUAGUCGCUUGGCAUAGCUCUCUUGCCUUUAGGUGGGGGCCGGCGUAGGGACCACAAAAACCGAUGUCCGCUGUGCUCUAGCGCGCACGCUAUCUCAUUCACCUGGGCCUCACCGAAACUUCCCAUGCUUCCAAAACACAGGAACACCACCGAGAAAGGAGGCUGAUCAUCAAGCCACCUCAAGAUAUCCGAGACCUUAUCUUCAUCACUACUUUUGAGGUUCAAUAAGGGUCCCACCGGAUACACCGGUGGGAUUUUAUCACCAGAAUCAAGAUAAUGAAGAGCAGGCGAUUCUAGCUCCAUGAAUGUAUUAACCAAAAUACCCUUGGUUUGUUUAAACCUGUUGACGGAGUCGAGGAUUGUUUUGGUGCUCUCCUUGUCCAGAAACGAACCAGGCAAGACAGAGGCAGGGUAAGGGUUGAUGAAACUCGGGACGGCCAACUCAGCGGUUGAGCUCGUCAACUCAGUUAUAUCUAUUCCCCCCUCGUCACGAAGCGAUUGAAAAUGGAACAUAAGUGCGAGAGUCGAAGCGUUGGAGGUGAAGAACAGGUAGGAGGGAACCUUAAAUUCGUUGGCCACGUCCAUUAGGCUUGCGCAAAACAUGUCGAGCACGAACCCGGCAAGCCGAGGCUUCGACGUCGACUCAGACUGAUCUGACUCGGGGAGUAAGUUGAUAACGGCGUCUCUGACGUGAGAUGUGUGAUUUUCGACGAGCAUUCUUAAGAAGGACCCGGGAUUGGGGACAGUGUCUUGUUUGUCCGAUUGGGCUUCUGGGAGGUUGACGAAGUCGAUGCGGUGAGAGAUUGAAGAAUCAGUGUUGGUGAAUGGUUGGGCGUAGGGAAGCUUCAUGACGAGGACUGUGAUAAACAGUUGGUCGUCCCGAGCAACGAGUUGCUUUGCCAUCUCGACCGUUGGUACCAUGUGGCCGAUGAUGCCUGGGGCGGGAACGAACACUAGUUGUGCUGGUCUCUUCAUCUUUUGAGAAAUGGCAAUGAAUAGCUGAGCUGUUUUAUUUAGAAAAACUCUUUCAUUUUAUAGUAGAAUGGUAUGAUGUCAUGCCUUCGCUCAUAGUUCUGAAUUUCCUACAAGUCAAGAUCUUAAUUACUUUCCAGACUGGAAAGACUUGGACAUCAAUAGCAAGAAGAUAAAACAAAGGGUUGUCAAAUUUUAUUUUGGUUCCAUCACCAGUCGUAAGGCUAGUUUGAUAUUGUUGUGAUUUGAAAAAAAAACUGUUUUUAUUGUGUUGUGAAAAUAAGCAGCAAUGAAAUAAAGCAGCAGAAUGUUUGGUAAACUUUUUUGUAAAAGUGCUUUUGAAAAAAAAUACAGUAUUAUAGUGCUUGGUAAAAUUUUAUAUAAAACAUAUGUGAAAAAAAAAUCGGUUUUUCAAAGCUAGGUUUUGCAGCUUUGUGUUUUUGGCUUUUUUCAUCCAAAACUGUGGAAAAAAACUGAAGUUGAAUGUUUACCAAACACAAAAAAACUAAGAACUUUUUUUUGUACCUAUUUUUUUCAGAACCACCUCAGUACCAAAUCAGGCCGUAGUCUAUAGAAAAGUACCACCAAUUAAGUUUCACUUUUAAUUUUGGUACUUACGUUUCAUAUUGCCUUGAGUAGAAUGUUGAAGAAUUGAAAACCGACAUGGUUCACACGCGGUCAAGAUUUCAGUUACUAUUACUAAGCACACCAUGUUCUCUACAGUGGUUAUCUUUUCUUCUUCUUUUCUCAAAAGCAACGAAAGAUUCAUCAUCGAAUUAGAAUCUUGUUCACAAUUGGAAUGCUGGGGUUAGGUUUUGUUCACAAUUGGAACAGUAGUAUAGUCCGAUACCAAGACGUCAAAGCGGGGUAAGCAGCCACUAUACUAAUCACAAAACGAAACUUUCUCAACUUAGUUACAUGCACAAUCAGCCAUAUGUUAAAUUUAAUCACAAAAUAUUUUGUUGCAAGAAAUGAAGUCAUUCAAUACACGUAAUUUAAUAUGUAGAGUUUCUGAUGUGGAAUUACAUUCUUUAACAAGAUUUCAUUCAUGGGAAGCCAAUCAAAUCAGCCCAAUUGAGUGUAAAAUAAUAGGCACGAGUAAACCAUGUCUAGUGUUGAAACUCACAAUUGUAACCCAAAAAGCAAAUAAUAGUUCAUUAAUGAAAGAAGUAAACUGUGAAAUCGGCAAAAUCAUUUUCAUUAGUUGUUAAGUAACGGUUCACGUAAAAGAAUUCGUUAACUAAAUCUGCAAAGCAGACUAAUUACGUGGAAGAGUUGACGAAGUCAUUAACUAAACAAGAAGUCAUUUUGCAAUCCAUCUUUCACGCUUGUACCAUCUCAAUUAGAAAAGUGGUUGGGAUUUGUCAAACUACUGGUGUAAGAUGCAGCGUGACAUAAUUGUUUCAGAAUUAUAUGAACCGACCAAAUGUAUAGGGCAACACAGUAUUUUAAUGCGCGUAGUAGACUAAUAGUGACAUGUAAACAACACAAAUAAAAGAUAACAAAUUUUCCUAAAAAAUUUUCUUAAACUCUUUGAAUUUUCAAAGUUCUCCUUAAGAAUGAUCAAUAAUCUUUGACAAAUCAAAGGGAAAAUUUGAUCAACAAAACGUCCGAAAGAAUUGUAAGAGGAACAAUCAACCAUCAAGGCUUUCUUGCUCCUCACCAUGUCCUUCAACCUCUUCCUCACAUCACUAUCCUUCUCCAUCAUCUCCUUUAUCCUACGCUCCUGUUCAUGUGCCUUAACAUUCGGACUCUCACCGUAAAAGUCCUUCCUGUACUAGAUAUUAAUUUCCUCGGCCAAUCCCAAUUCCCUGUCCAACUCAAAUGCAUUGUUAGAGCAUCUCCAAAGGAGAUAUCAAAAUGUCCACUUAAGUUAUAACAGUAAAAAAAGACCAAGUGAUCUCCAACCGAAAUGUCAAAUCCUACGUGACGAUGACAUAAAUUGGCAGCAAGAGAGUUGUUGUCAAAUUUAACAGCAGCUUUAAAAUUAAUUAUUAAUGCUUUUUAUUAAUUUUUUAUUGAUUUAAUCAUCAUUCCAAUUAACGUUGUUGUUGACCCCUCUUUUCUUUUUAACACCGCCUGAUUAAUAUAUAAGGGAAACGGUACCAUUUUGCAAUUAAUGUCGCAAUUAAGUUUUUAUUAAUUUAAUCAUUUAUUUUAUAAUAUAACAAAAUAAUAAUUUAAUUUGACUUAUUGGGUGGACAAUAAAAAUUUUAAAAGAUGUCAAAAUGCCACAUAGGCUGUCAAAUUUUAAUUUUAUGUUCAAAAUUUGACAUCUCCUUUGAAAAUGCUCUUAGCCUCGUACAAUGGCCACAUCGCAACCGGCACGCCAAACCAUAGGCUUUCCAACUUGGAGUGUGAAAUCUGAUUCCCAGAUGUCACUAAUUAAUCUUAGGUAUACACAAAAUUACUUUAUUUUCGUUAAUUUUAGAGUUUUAGUUACUUAGCUAUAAAUUUUGAAUUUUCGUAAAUAGUUAUUUAAAAUAGAAAAAAUUAGUGUCCAGUCCAUAAUUUCUAAUAUUCAUUGAUUAAGACUUUAUUAGUUUUUAGAUUUUGAUCAAAGUCCUUAUCAUUAAUAUAUUAAUGAAUUAUAUGUAAGUUACAUAAUUUUUAUAAUAAAAAUUAGUAAUUGAUUUAGAGUUUUAAUACUCACACCCUUAUUAAAAUCCUAAUUAAUUUUCAAUUCAAACAUUUUCAAAAUAUAAAAAAUAAAAUUAGAAUAAGUUUGUACCCAUUACAUUUUUACAAAAAAAAAAUGAUAUGUACCAAUUUGUUAUAUGAAAAAUGUACCCUUUUUUUUAAUACACAAUAUGUACUAAUUUGUUAUAUGAAAAGUGUACCCUUUUUUUAAUACACAAUGUACCCAUUUUUUUAUAUAAAAUUCAUUCAAUAUUUUCUCUAAUCCAUUUUAAAACUUAUAUGGGUACAUUCUAUUUCGUUGAUUUGAAAAUGUAUUAUGUCAAGUUUAAUAGAAGAAAUUUAAUAAUGUUAUUAAGCCUAAUAUCUUCUUCUUUUUUUUGUCUUUUUGAAAAAUGUACCCAUGUUUUGGUACAAUAAUUUUUUGGUUAGUAUUUUUUAUGAACGUACUCAUGUAUAAUAUAUAUAUAUAUAUAUAUAUAUAUAUAUAUAUAUGGAUACACACAAUAUAUUGGAGAGUAUAAUUUAUUUUUAAUAUUUUUAAUCCCAUAGAUUAUGGGUUUUAUUUUAAAUCUCAUUAAUAUAAAUAACUACAAAUUUUAUUUUUAAGUUAAAAAUAUAAUAACCACUGUUCUAAAAAUCCCCGCCUAGCGCCGCCUAGGCGCUAGGCCCCAGCCCACCGGCCCCAAUUAAUGCCUAGGCCCCAGCCCACCGCCUAGACCACCUAGGCACCCGCCUAGCCCGCCUAGGCCCCCACCUAGCCCGCCUAGGCACCCGCCUAGCCCGCCUAGGUUGCAACUCACUUAGACAGAAAAUACAUAACUUUCAUUUUGCAUUUUGUUUUUUUCCAAUAAAUUGUAAGAGACUUGUUGCAUACUUGAAUGAACAAACAUAAAUCCUUAUUUCACAUGUUUUCAUUAUGUUCCAAUACUUCAUGAUAUAUAUGCAUUCUAUUUUGUAGUUUAUGAUGAAAUUAUAUAUAUUUCAAGUAGAAGCAGACACUUAUUUACCUGAAAUAUGAUAGAUUUACUUAAAUCCGCCUAGUCCGCCUAGGCUCCCGCCUAGCCGCCUAGGCGCUAGGCCCCAGCCCGCCGCCCGACUAGCGCCUAGCGAUUUUUAGAACCUUGAUAAUAACUUAUAUAGAAAUACAUUAUUACAUUACUGUCAAGGACUUCGAUCAAAAACUAAAAAUCACAAAGGUUUCAAUCAAAGAACAUUGAUAGUUAGGGACCGCAUCCAAAAUGCCCAUUUAAAAUAUAUAGACCUUUUAGGGUCAUCCUUAAUGUUUUUGAAUAGAGUUCGAUUCCACGGGUGCAUAGGCAAAAAUUGUUUGUGAAGUGGACCAUAACUAAGAAAUUACAAGCAACAUAAGUCAGGUUCAAAUAGUAAUUUUAGACUUGCUAUAAAUAGCAAGUCAAAAUAUGUGGAAAAGGAAGUGGACAGCUGACCCGGACGUGACCCGUUUACCCUGGCGCGAACCGACUUCAAACCCGUUUCCUGCAGCCUUUUUCGACGCCUACUCGAGAGUUUUUCUAGCGAAUCGAAGCCACCGACCACUAGAAAACAACUAAGCGUCACCCCAACUUUCAUUUCGACCCGAAUGAACGUCGUCGUCUUCCCUGAGCUCAAGACGGCGAUCUCGCCGUUCCUGCACGUUCUGACACCAUCCACCACCACCACCUGACUCACCUCGACCCCAGAAACAAAACCCUAACUUUCAUUUGGGCGUUAGUGCAACGAGCUUCCCACCAAACGAGGCUUUUCACGGCAAUUUCACUGUUCUCAAUCCAGUUUCAGGCCCCGACACGGGUAUAAUAUUGAGAAAUACUUGGAAAUCAAGCCAGAUAAUUAAAAAGGUAUCAAAUUUGAUUUUGGUUCCACUAGUAUUCGUAGUCCACUAUGCAAUUGCUUUGCCAUUAUGUAUAAAGUAGGUCAAAGAGUAGGAAUUGAAAACAUAUAUCUAUGGAUUAGCACUACCAAUUAAGUUUCACUUUUUUUAUUUUGGUACUCAGCACUUACCAUAUGUUUCAUAUUGUCUUGAGUAGAAAGUUGAACAAUUGAAAAUCGACCCGAUGCACGCACAUUCAGUCAAGAUUUCAAUUACUUAGCACACCAAUGUUGUUCUAGUUUAAUCAACAUAAAAUCUGACAUGUACUGUUCAUUUGAGGAUAUCCGAUCAUGUUUGGACGAUAGGAUGGGGAAGGGAGGAGGAGUCUGGCAUGUGUUGUUCUUACCAUAGGAGGCCUCUGUGUAUUAAGAGUGAAUUUACUUAAUAUGAGUUGUAAAUUAUGAUCUAUCAAGUUUUUACUCUAAGAUUACAUCAUUUAAAACCAUCUUUAGUGGACCAUAAGUGCAACCAAUUCGACAUUGAUAAACUUUUCGUUUUGUAAAGCAAUGAAAGAUUCAUCAUCAAAUCAGAAUCUUGUUCACAAUGAAAUGUUGCGGUCAAGGUUUGUUCACAAUUGAAACGGCAAUAAGGUCAUGUCGGGUCAAGGGAAACCCGCAAUGUUACCAAUACAUCAAAGUCAGGCAAGCGGCCAACUACUAAUUACAAAUAAAACUUUCUCAACUUAAUUACAUGCAUGGUCCAACAUAUGUUGAAUUCUAUCCAAAAAAAUUAUGAUGCAAAAAGUGAAGUCAUUCAAUACACGUAAUUUAAUACAUAGAGUUUCCAAUAUGGAAUGAUUCUUCAACAAGAUUUCAUUCACAGAAAGCCAAUAAAAUUGAAAGUUUUAACGACACUCUUGGUAUUAUUCACUUUUAACGAAAAACCACAUUAACUAGGUCUAGCUUUGAAACCUCGGCAAAUCAAUUUAAUUAAUUGGAAGAAUUUGAAGAAGUCAUUAACCACACAAGAAGUAAUUUUGCAAUAUUUUCAGGCUUGUACCAUUUCAAUUAGAAAAGUGGUUAUGAUUUGUCAACUGCUGGUGUAACAUGUGUGACACGAUUGUUUCGAAAAUAUACGAACCGACCGAAUGUAUAUGACAAUAUGUUCAAGGGCGUCAGAGAUAUUGAAGCAAUAAUAAUGAAAAAGGAUUGUCUGCCCUUUCACUUCUGAUGCUCUUUCAUGCCUUCCUGUUUUGUGUGAUCACGGUUAAACCACGUCAACAUUUUAUAUUGUUUUUUUUAUAGAUAUAAUAAAACAAAAAUGAAUAGUAAUAUAAAAAGUUAACGUGGCUUAACUAUAACCACACAAACAGGAGGGCACGGGAGGGCACCGAAAGUGGGAGGGCAGACAAUCCUUGUCCAAUAAAGAGUACAUGUAACAAUACAAAAAAUAUCUUAAUGCGCAUAAUACAAUAGCAAAAUGUAAAAAAUCUUUAUAUAUCUUUAUAUAUAAAGCCAACAACUUUUUUUGGAAUCACAAGUUUCACAAAAAAAAAUUUAGACAAAAAUGCUACGAAAACAAAAAAAAAAUCAAAAGAAACCCAAAAUAAUGCAGGAGUAUUUUCAUCAUUUUAAUAGUAUUUUUUUAAAUAAUUAAUUCUUUUUGUACAACUUUUUUUUAAAAAAAAAUUAGUACCUCACAAUAGGUUAGCAAUAAUAAUUCAAUCAAUUGUUCAUUAAAUAUUGUUUUCUCUAUUUUUAAACAUGUUCAAAACAUCUUAAGAUGCGUGUAAUGCCUGUUAUAAAAAAAGCAUUUCACACGCGCAUAAUAAUGUGAUGAAAUUAGUUGUCAAAUGAUUUUUUUUUCUUGAACAAACGAUAUUAUCUUCAUUAAAGGGGAAGGGGUGGGCUUAGCCUCACAAUGAGCUAGUAAUAAUGUGAUUCAAUCAGUUAUUUAUUAAAUAUUAUUUUCUCUAUUCUAAAUGUAAAUUCAAUUGUUUUGAUUGGUCUAUGAGGGGUUUUUUUCUAGCAAGAUCUAAGAUUAUUCAUUUAUUUCAAAUAUUUGACUUUCCGUUUGUCAAUUCACGCAUAUAAAUACGUUUACAAUGUGUAAAUCACGCGAAAUACGCCGUGAUUCAAAAAAUAUCUUCUGCACGUUUGUGACAGUGUGCAUGAAGGCUAGUAAAAAUAAAUGACAACAUAUUUUCCAAGAAAAAUUUAACCCUUUGAAUUUCCAAAUUUCUCCUUGAGAAUGAUCAUAAUCUUUCACAAAUCAUAGGGAAAUUUGAUCAAGAAAACGUCCCAAUGAAUUGUAAGAGGAGCCACCAACCAUCAGGGCUUUCUUGCUCUUCUCACUCAUGUCCUUCACCCUCUUCCUCACAUCACUAUCCUUCUCCAUCAACUCCUUUAUCCCUUGCUCUAGUUCAUGUGCCUUCACAACAUUUGGGUACUCACCGUACAAGUCCCUCCUAUACUCCAUAUUAACUUCCACGGCCAAUCCUAAUUCCCUCACCAACUCAAAUGCAUUUAGUUGUUGCUCCGCGUACACCGGCCAAGCGGCGACCGGUACGCCAAACCAUAGGCUCUCCAACGUGGAAUUCCACCCGCAAUGGGACACGAACCCUCCGACGGCCGGGUGGGCUAGGAUCGCCGUUUGCGGAGCCCAACCUAUGACCUUCCCAAUCCCAGCUGUCCGAUCGAGGAAUCCUUCAGGUAGGACUGCCUUAGGAUCCGAAUAGUCACUAGGGGAAGCGAUAAUCCCCUUUGGUGGGGGCUGGCGCAGCGACCACAAGAAGCGAUGCCCGCUCUGCUCCAGCCCCGAUGCUAUCUCCCUCACCUGGUCCACACCAAAGCUUCCCAUGCUCCCAAAGCACAGGAACACCACAGAUGAAUCGGGCUGGUCAUCUAGCCACUCCAAUAUAUCCGACUUCUGCUGAGCCUGCUUCGAACCCACUUCGGUUUCACUGCUCUUUAGGUUCAGAAUAGGUCCCACAGGGUACACAGGUGGGGUCUUACCAUCAGAAAGUGAAUCAAGGGCGUGUGAUUCCAACUCAACGAACGUAUUUAUCAGAAUACCCUUGAGUUCUCUAAACCUGUUGGCAUAGCCAAGGAAAGCUUUCGCACCAUCCUUGUCCAAAAGGACGCUUGGCAAAACUCCAGCCGGAACCGAGUCGACAAAAGUUGGCAGUGUCAACUCAGCAUCCGAGCCCUUGAACUCGCUUACGUGCUUGCCAUACACGUCGCGAAUCGUUUGGAUAUUAAGUACCAGCCCGAGAAACCCGGCCGGCGAAGUGAAGAACAUGUACGUAGGAACUCCGAAAUCAUUGGCCACGUCGAUCAUUGUCGUGCAAAACAUGUCGAUGACAAACCCGGCAACCCGAGUCGACUCGGACUCUGACUCGGCGAGUUUGGAGACAGCAUCUUUGACGUAGGGUUUGUGGCUCUCGAUGAAUUGGCUGCGGAAGGCGUUGGGACUUUUGCGCGUGUCGAUGUCGGAGGCGGCCUGUGGGAGGGUGAUGAAGUUGACACGUGACAACACGGGAGAGGAUUGGAGGGAGGAUAUGUAGGCCUCUGUACCCUUGGAUUCGAAGGGGAGCUUCAUGAUGAGGACUGUGAUGAAGAGUUUCUCGUCUCGAGAGACAAGGAGCUUUGCCAUCUCCACAGCGGAGAUGAGGUGGCCGGUGCCGGCGGAGGGGAUGAAGACGAGUUUCGUUGGUUGCUUCAUUUGGAAAUUUAUUAGGAGUUUGAUAGCUUUGGAGGAAAUGAAAAUUUAAUUAGCUGAUUGAUGUACAAGCUUCUUUUCUUUAGAUGUGUGCUGUGUAUGUAUGUAUAUACUAUAUAUAUAUACACACAGAUAAAUAUAUACUCACACACACACACAUUAUAGAUGUAAAUGAUGGAGGUGAUGAUCUCAUGCCUUUGCUGGCAUUGGUUAAAUUGUUUAGUUAAUUCGCAGGAUAUUUAUAACAAAGACUUGAAAACCAAGAAAAGGACCUUUGGGGUCAGAGAAAGUUGCAUCAUGCAUGCCUCUUGGCCACUAAUUUAGGCAGUCAUAAUACGAAGAGAAAUUGGAGUAGUGAUCACGGGAAUAGAUAAGUUGUGUGAAUACUCGAGAAAAAUUAUUAAUAAAAUAAUACGAUAAAUUCUGUAAAUGUUGGAUAGAACGGGAGAGUUCUUUCGUUUUGAAAUCCAACUACAUAAUAUAUAUUUUAAGACUAUCCAAAUUAUAAAUAAAAACUCGAAAAUAAAUCGACGACCUGUAGUAGGACUUAUAUAAUAGAGGUGUACCCUAAUAAUUACUUUUAUUUUUAUUUUUUUAUGAACCAACAUUAUUAUCUACAUUAAAGGGGAGAAAGAGUGGGCUUAAAGUUCACAAUAGACUAUCAAUAUUAUAGUUCAAAUUUAUCUUUAACGAUAAUCGAAUAUAAACGCUAUCACUUAUAAAUAAAGAAUAAUAUCAUUAAACCGUAGUACGAAGUGAUUAAUAAUCAUUUUUUUAAUAGUUACAUUAAACAUAAUAUUUCUAACAUUACUAGUCAAUCAAACGGACUUAAGUUGAAUUCAUUUUUAGGCAACUUUUUUCUUUUUAAUAUGCUUUAUUUCUCCAUCCUCACUUCCACGAGCUUAUUCUUCUUUCAAUAUUUUUCUUAUAUACAUUUCCAAUAUUUUAAAUGGAAUUAAUAAAGAAAGACACAAUCACCUGAGCUGUGAAAGAACAAAUUUGCUUUUUGACCUGGGGGAGUCGUAGCCGACAAGAAUACUGCAGGCUGCGGCUGAAGAAAAAGACAGAUUCCGAAAGCUGACCUCGCAUGCACCUUUCACCUCAUAAUCUAUUCCUUUUCCUCUUCUUCUACUGGAGGAUUACGAUUUAAUUAUAUUAACAUUUAAUAUUAAUUUUUUUAUAAAUAUGUUGUCGUACCCAGUGCACAAGACUCUCGCUUUACGCAGGAUUUGGGAGAGGUGAAUGUCGGCUAGCCUUACCCCCAUUUAUGGAGAGGCUGCUCCCAAGUCUCGAACCCGAUACCUACCGCUCAUGGGCGAAGGCACUUGCCAUCGCACCAAGUGCGACCUCUAAUUUUUUUUUUAUAAAUAUAAUAAAACAAAAAAUAAUAUGUAAGAGGAGAAGAGGAAAAAGAUGAGAAUAAAAGAAAAAAAAAUUUAAUAUUGAUUUUUUUAUAAAUAUAAUAAGACAAAAAAUAAUAUGUAAGGAGAGAAGAGGAAAAAGAUGAGAAUAACAAGAGAGCUUAUAUACACAUCAGCAGGUUUGAGGAAACAACGGAGCAUGCAUAUUUAUGACUCCCUUGCCACGUGGUAUCUUACUAUGUUAGUGAUUUCCGCACUCUGAUUUUUAAACUCGCACUCUUUCGUUUAGAUUUUUCUUUUAUUUCCUACAGAAGGAGGUCUGAAAGGGGUGUGGAAAUUGCUCCCGAUAAUGUGCACGUCGAUUGACAUGGAAAUUAAAAACUGCUCAUCAUGUAUGCGUGACUAAAACAAUAGAAGUACAUAUAAGUUGAGAGUUCCGAUGUUUGAUUAGCUUCGUUUUUGUUCUUUGUAUUAGCCACAUGGAAAAAUAUCAAGAGAAUUAUCUUAAACAUAAAGACUUUGUAACCUCUUUGACAUCUCGUAUUUUUUACAUAAUACCCCAUAAUGUUAUGAAAAUUAACUUAAACUGUGAGGUACGUAGCAAGUUCCUAAAAGAUCCUAUUUUUUAGAGAGUUUCCUUGACAUUUCUCUUGAUCAUAUGUGUAACAUGAAAGUACAAAGAUGAAAGAUGAUGAAUUGGAGAUUAGCAAAAGCCAAUCGCUAUCAAAUUAAUAAAAAAGGGGAACUUUAUUAGAAGUGUGACUGGUGAGUCUUUUUUUACACCUUCAAGCAACAAAAGAUCCAUAGAGGCUCAUACGUACAUUGCAACUAAGAAAUCAUUGGACUUUUGAUUUGUUAUUAUGCUAACAAGAUAAUUAAGCUGCACUAAUUAAUCACAGGAAGAUCUGAUCAAUGAGACGGCCCAAUGAUGAGUGUGAGGAACCACCAUCCAUCAACGCUCUCCUGCUCUUCUCACUCAUCCCCUGCACCUUCUUCCUCUGCUCACUCUCAACCUCCAUCACCUCCCUUAUCCCUCUCUCUAUCUCCUCCGCCCUCACCACCACCUCCCCUUCCCUCCUGUAAUCCAUCUUAAUCUCCACCGCCAGUACCAACUCCCUCACCAGCUCAAAAGCAUUCAAAUGCUGCUCCGCGUACAUUGGCCAAGCCGCAACUGGCACCCCGUACCAGAGACUCUCUAGGGUUGAAUUCCACCCGCAAUGGGACACGAACCCACCCACCGAUGGAUGGCCCAAGACCGCAACUUGCGGGGCCCAUCCUAUGACCUUCCCUGUCCCGGCCGUGCGGUCGAGGAACCCUUGGGGCAGGACUCCGCUGGGAUCAGCAUAAUCACUGGCGAAUGGAAGCUCCCCCUUUGGCGGGGGCUGGCGUAGGGACCACAAGAAUCGGAGGCCGCAGUGCUCAAGCGCGGCGGCUAUCUCCUUCACUUGGUCCCCACCAAAGCAUCCCAUGCUCCCAAAGCACAGGAACACCACCGACAAAGGAGGUUGAUCAUCAAGCCACUCCAAAAUUUCCUUCUUUUUGGCCAGCUCCGAGCCUUCAGGGUCACUCUUCAAGUUCAGUAUGGGCCCUACAGGGUACAGCGGCGGGGUUUUGCAGUCGGUAAGAGCUCCGAGGCCGUGGGAUUCUAGCUCCAUGAAGGUGUUUACCAAAAUCCCCUUGGUUUCUCUGAACCUUCUGGCAUGGUUGAUGAACUCUGUGGCGCUAUCCUUGUCCAGAUACAUGCCAGGCAAGACUCUAGCAGGCAUUGGGUUGACAAGACAUGGCAAAACCAAAUCAGGAUCCGAUUCCUUCAGCUCAGUGCAGUCCUUGUUCUGCUCGUCAUGAAGGGUUUGGAGGUGGAGCACAAGCCCGAGAAAGCCUGCGCCGGACGUGAAGAAGACGUAGGUAGGAACCCCAAACUCAUUGGCCACGUCUAUCAAGGUGGUGCAGAACAUGUCGAUGACAAACCCGACUAGCCUGGGCUUGCAAUCAGACUGAAGGGCCUCACUAGUGAGCUUCGCGACUGCAUCUCUGACGUGUUGUUUGUGAUUUUCAACGAAUAGCUUCAGGAAGAGGCUGGUCUUAAUACCCUUCGUCUCUACGGCUUCCUCCGGGAGGUUGAUGAAUCUGAUACGUUCGGCGUCGUCAGCACCCUUGAGCUUCAAGUUGUACUCCAAGGGCAGCUUCAUGGUGAGUACUGUGAUGAAAAGCCGGUCGUCUCGAGCAACUAAGAGCUUUGCGAUCUCGAACGAGGACGCAAGAUGGCCAAUACCUAU
rnacentral:lncRNA from 1 species